AUGGCGAACCAGCUGCCGGUGCAGCAGCAGGUCGACCCGCUUGGACAUGAACAUCUCAACCAGCAGCGCAUGUGCGCCCCGCGGCAGCAAAGCCUAAACAACGUUCCUGUCAUCCACCUUGACAUCGGACGUCCACCGCAUGGAGAAGAAGACGACCUGGCCCAGCGCUAUGAGAAUUUCGUGCGAAUAAUCAUCCGCCGGUUAACAAAGAUCUGCCCUGCAACCUAUUACGGAAAGCCAAUUACCCCAUACCCAAAUGCAGCGAACCAUCCUACUAACGGUCAUAGCUACUUCCGUGUCGUGUUCUUUUCAAGCACCAAUGAUUAUGCGAGAGUGGAAUUCCUGAUAAGGGACUUUGACCUCUAUCUACUGGGAUUUACAAGGCAGCUGGAUGGCGAGUGGUCGCCUUGGUACCGUUUUACACCUUCUCUGGGGUGGCCGUCAUUCGACAUGGGCCAAGUUGUAAAUUAUAGGUUUGAUGGGGGACAUGAGCACAGCGUUGACAUGGGUGGUCGCGAAACUCUAGAGUUCAUCUUCGACACAAUUUGGACGUGGCACCCGAAUGAUGUGAGAAGCACAAAUCUGAAGCUGGCGGUUGAAAAAGCUUUCACGCUUAUUUGCGAAGCACUACGAUUCCAGUAUGUUUUUGAUGAGCUAGUAAGGAGGAUCCAAUAUGGAGAGGAUUCAAGUCCCCUGGACAUUGCAGACCUGCCUAGAGAGAGAGUCUGGAAGCGCAUUGGCAGCUGGGGCGUCAUGUGUGAAGUUGCCUUAGAAGCAGGCCUCAAUGGUGGCUUGCUAAGAACCAGAGACAAGAUGAAGGAUUACGACCGAAUCUACCAUAUCAACAGCUUCCUGGAUAUGAUAAAUGGACUCAGUGUUCUCAAGAGGAUCGAGAAAUCUCAUCUGAUCCCGCCGGUGCAUCAGCGAACCCCGGCCUAUGGAAUGCCUGUUCUUGAACCGGGCUUCAUACCGCUGGACCAAGAUUAUCCCCCGGACAAUUGGUGA
rnacentral:rRNA from 1 species